UGGACCUACGGGACGCAGCAGUAGGGAAUUUUCGUCAAUGGGCGCAAGCCUGAACGAGCAAUGCCGCGUGAACGAGGAAGGUCUUCGGAUCGUAAAGUUCUGUUGAAGGGGAAAAAGAGCGGAGAGAGGAAAUGGUCUCCGAUCGAUAUUACCCUUCGAGGAAGUCACGGCUAACUACGUGCCAGCAGCCGCGGUAAUACGUAGGUGGCGAGCGUUAUCCGGAAUGAUUGGGCGUAAAGGGUGCGUAGGCGGCCUGCUAAGUAUGGAGUGAAAGGUACCGGCUCAACCGGUACAGGCUAUGGAGA
rnacentral:rRNA from 1 species